AGAGCUAAUGGAGGAUGCCUGGGCAUUAACAGCCGAAGAAGGACGUGUAAAGCUGCGAAAAUCUACGGGGAACUGCUAAAAGGUCUUGAUCCGUAGGAAUCCGAAUGGGGAAACCUUAUAUAGUGCGAACUGUAUAAUCCUUAAUUAAAUACAUAGAUUAAGGAGGGAAAGCCUGUGAACUGAAACAUCUUAGUAACAGGACGAGAAGAAAAUAACAAUGAUUCUGAGAGUAGCGGCGAGCGAAAUUGGAAGAGCCUAAAAUGAAUAUACGUGAUAGCCUGUAAGCGUUGUAUAUUUGUGGUAGUGGGACAUCUUGGAAUAAGUUACAGCUUGUUUGAUUAGUCAGAAAAUUAUUUAAUAGCAGAAUUUGUUGGGAAGCAAAACCAUAGCAAGUGAGAGUCUUUUAUGCGACAUUAAAUAAACUAAUGAGAUGCACCCGAGUAAGUCAGGGCACGAGAAACCCGGACUGAAUCAGCCUCGACCAUGAGGUAAGGCUAAAUACUGUUUAGUGACCGAUAGUGAACGAGUACGGUGACGGAAAGGCGAAAAGAACAGUGAGAAGCUGAGUGAAACAGAUCUUAAAACCGUUAGCUUACAAUCAGUUAGAGCACAAUCAAUUGUGUGAUAGCGUGCCUGUUGAAGAAUGAGCCGGCGAGUUAAUUUAUGUUGCGAGGUUAAGCGGAUAAUACGUGGAGCCACAGCGAAAGCGAGUAUGAACAGUGCGUUAAGUAACAUGAAUUAGACCCGAACCUUGGCGAUCUAACCUUGACCAGGAUGAAGCGUAGGUAACACUACGUGGAGGACCGAACCAACCGAUGUUGAAAAAUCGGUGGAUGAGUUGAGGUUAGGGGUGAAAUGCCAAUCGAGCCAAGAGCUAGCUGGUUCUCCCCGAAAUGCGUUUAGGCACAGCGUCAGAUUUAUCUUAUUGGAGGUAGAGCACUGGUUUUGUGCGGGUGGCGAAAUGCCAUACCAAACAAUGUCAAACUCCGAAUACCAAUAAAGUAAUUGUCUGGCAGUGAGACUGCGAGUGCUAAGAUCCGUGGUCAAGAGGGAAACAGCCCGGAACGCCAAAUAAGGUCCCAAAUAUAUGCUAAGUGGUUAAGGAGGUGGAGAUGCACAGACAACCAGGAGGUUGGCUUAGAAGCAGCCAUACCUUGAAAGAGUGCGUAAUAGCUCACUGGUCAAGCGCCUCUGCGCCGAAAAUACACCGGGACUAAAGCAUAUAACCGAAUUUGCGUCGUGUAAGAUUAAGAUUUUAUACGGGUAGGGGAGCGUACUAUAUUAGGGUGAAGUCAGAUCGGAAGGACUGAUGGACGAGAUAGUAGUGAGAAUGUCGGCAUAAGUAGCGAAAACAUUGGUGAGAAUCCAAUGCUCCGAAAACCUAAGGUUUCCCACGGCAGGCUCGUCCGCGUGGGGUUAGUCGGACCCUAAGCUCAGGCAGAAAUGCGUAGGCGAUGGACAUCAGGUAGAUAUUCCUGAACUGACUAAAAUGUGAUUGACCGGCGGAGGGACGCAGUAGGAUAUGCAAGCAGCCGAAUGGAAGCGGCUGUAAAGAUACGUAGGCAGGAUAAGCAGGAAAAUCCGUUUAUCCGUAAGAAACUGAGGUAUCGAGUAGGACAUUCUACGGAAUGGAAGUUGCAGACUCCACACUGCCAAGAAAAACUUCGCACGGGAGCAUAUUAGUUAUCCGUACCCGAAACCGCCAAAGGUAGGUUGGUAGAAAAUACUAAGGAGCGCGAGACAACUCUCGCUAAGGAACUCGGCAAAAUCACCUCGUAACUUCGGGAGAAGAGGUACCCUGUUAGCGUGAAGCAAGCACAUGUGGAGCGUGAUAGGGUCGCAGUGAAAAGGCCCAAGCGACUGUUUACCAAAAACACAGGUCUCUGCAAAGUCGAUCAAGACGAUGUAUAGGGGCUGACGCCUGCCCGGUGUCGGAAGGUUACGCGGACGUGUUAGUACUUGUACGAAGCAUUGAAGCUAAGCCCCGAUGAACGGCGGCCGUAACUAUAACGGUCCUAAGGUAGCGAAAUUCCUUGUCAGGUAAGUUCUGACCCGCACGAAUGGCGUAACGAUUUGGGCGCUGUCUCGGCGAGAGGCUCGGCGAAAUUGGAUUAUCCGUGAAGAUACGGAUUACGUAUACCAGGACAGAAAGACCCUAUUGAGCUUUACUGUAGCUUGGAAUUGAAUUCGGGUUAUUAUUGCGCAGUAUAGGUGGGAGACUAUGAUCUAUGUAUUUUGGUAUAUAGGGAGUCAUCGUUGAGAUACCACUCUGUAACAAUUUGGAUUCUAACCUUGAGCCAUCGAAUAACAUGGCAGGGGACAAUUACAGGUAGGCAGUUUGACUGGGGCGGU
rnacentral:rRNA from 1 species